CGUUGCUCUUGGAUAAGUAUCAAUAACCUCAGAACUAUGGAAAGAACCAUGUGUGGAGUUUGGCACCACAGAUAUUCUCUGAGUGAUUGAAGUCUCUUCUACCAUGAGGCCUUGAAAGCUCCAUGAUAGAGAUGACAGAGCUAUAAGAUGAAAGCAGCCCAAAUCCCUGAGUCACCAAUGUUUGAAGAAGAGCUUCCCAGGAGAGUAAAAAUGGCAGAACAAUAAAGAAAAUGGAAGAAAGAGAAAAUAUGAGAAGAAAUGGAAGAAAAUGGAGAAAAAUGGAAGAAAGAGAAAAUAUCUCUAACAUCCAACAUAGCCAUUUUUAUUCUUCCAUGUCCAUUCCAAUAUUUAUGUACUGACACAUUUUUUGUGUUGUUAUAAUAACACAUAGACCCAAUGUAGAUUCAUUUUUCUUCCUUCACUUAUAUUGUAAGGAUUUUUUUUUUCAUAUACUGCUUGAGCUUUAUCAUCAUUGUCUUUAAUAUUUGCAUAACAAUCCAUCAGGUUAUCACACUAACUAUUCUCUGAUUGCUGGACCCAUGAGUUGUUCAUGUUUUGCUAUGGUAAAUAAUGCUGCAAUGAACAUCUUUGUGCAAAGACUUCAGUCUGUCUUAUCUCAUGUUUUCUUAGAACCAACUGCGAGGAAUGGGAUU
rnacentral:lncRNA from 10 species